rnacentral:rRNA from 1 species
UACAGAGGGUGCGAGCGUUAAUCGGAAUUACUGGGCGUAAAGCGCGCGUAGGCGGCUUUGCAAGUCGGGUGUGAAAUCCCCGGGCUCAACCUGGGAACUGCAUUUGUGACUGCAUAGCUAGAGUACGGUAGAGGGGGAUGGAAUUCCGCGUGUAGCAGUGAAAUGCGUAGAUAUGCGGAGGAACACCGAUGGCGAAGGCAAUCCCCUGAACCUGUACUGACGCUCAUGCACGAAAGCGUGGGGAGCAAACAGG